rnacentral:rRNA from 1 species
AACGAACGCUGGCGGCAGGCUUAACACAUGCAAGUCGAACGCCCCGCAAGGGGAGUGGCAGACGGGUGAGUAACGCGUGGGAACAUACCCUUUCCUGCGGAAUAGCUCCGGGAAACUGGAAUUAAUACCGCAUACGCCCUACGGGGGAAAGAUUUAUCGGGGAAGGAUUGGCCCGCGUUGGAUUAGCUAGUUGGUGGGGUAAAGGCCUACCAAGGCGACGAUCCAUAGCUGGUCUGAGAGGAUGAUCAGCCACAUUGGGACUGAGACACGGCCCAAACUCCUACGGGAGGCAGCAGUGGGGAAUAUUGGACAAUGGGCGCAAGCCUGAUCCAGCCAGGCCGCGUGAGUGAUGAAGGCCUUAGGGUUGUAAAGCUCUUUCACCGAUGAAGAUAAUGACGGUAGUCGGAGAAGAAGCCCCGGCUAACUUCGU